AUCACUUCUCGGCCUUUUGACUAAGAUCAAGUGUAGUGUCUGUUCUUAUCAGUAAAAACGUUGGCCAUUUCUUAAUUCAUAGGGAAGUACAAGUGUCCCAUUGAAGAUGAAGUGACCUAUUGAAAGUCAGGAGUAUUAUUUCAUUACACAGCAAAAGCUCUAUUCCAACACAC
ensembl:snRNA U2 U2 spliceosomal RNA